rnacentral:lncRNA from 1 species
UUUCAUACCUAUCCUGCCUAGCUUGCUGUUGGAAAGCUUGUUUGAGAUGGACACUCAUCUCAUAAGCCUCAAGGUGCUCCAGAUCCUUCUGAAGUUCUGGGCACAUAGUUGCCAACAUAAGACAUCCAAUGUCAUUAGAAUCAUCCAUAUGCUUCUUAUGCUUGUUCUUAACAGCAUUAGUAGCAUCAGCAGGAGGUGGUUCAGGGACAGCUUCAUCAAGCACGUAGGACUUUUUCUCUUACUUGAGAACAAUUCUCAAGUUUCUAAACCAGUCAACAAAAUUAGUCCCAUUUUCUUUCAG